UGUCUGCCUCACAACCAAUCAGGUUAGAGGAGGUGGAGAACGGCUUUGUUUACAGUCAGAAAGAGCGGACCGCUCAAAAAUGUUCAAAUGUUGACGACACAGACAGAAGAGAACACAGAGAUAUCGAUAUAUUACCAAAUAAUCAAUAACUAAUAACUAUUGACUGAUAUUAGAAGAUUUUUAUAAAUACACCAAAAUAAA